rnacentral:rRNA from 1 species
UACGUAGGAGACGAGCGUUGUCCGGAGUUACUGGGCGUAAAGCGUGCGCAGGCGGUGAUGUAAGACCGUUGUGAAAUCCCCGGGCUCAACCUGGGAACUGCAUCUGUGACUGCAUCGCUGGAGUGCGGCAGAGGGGGAUGGAAUUCCGCGUGUAGCAGUGAAAUGCGUAGAUAUGCGGAGGAACACCGAUGGCGAAGGCAAGCCCCUGGGCCUGCACUGACGCUCAUGCACGAAAGCGUGGGGAGCAAACAGG